rnacentral:rRNA from 1 species
AGAGUUUGAUCCUGGCUCAGGAUGAACGCUAGCGGCAGGCCUAACACAUGCAAGUCGAGGGGCAUCAUGGCGUAGCAAUACGCUGAUGGCGACCGGCGCACGGGUGCGUAACGCGUAUGGAACCUACCCACCGCAGGGGGAUAACCCGCCGAAAGGCGGACUAAUACCCCAUGGUUCCCCGACCCUGCCUGGGGUUGGGGGUAAAGCCUACGGGCGGCGGUGGAUGGCCCUGCGUGCCAUUAGCUGGCUGGUGGGGUAACGGCCCACCAGGGCGACGAUGGCUAGGGGGUCUGAGAGGACGAUCCCCCACACUGGUACUGAGACACGGACCAGACUCCUACGGGAGGCAGCAGUGAGGAAUAUUGGUCAAUGGGCGGAAGCCUGAACCAGCCAUGCCGCGUGCAGGAUGACGGCCCUACGGGUUGUAAACUGCUUUUCCCCGGGGCGAAUAACCCCCUCGCGAGGGGGGAUGCCGGUACCGGGGGAAUAAGGAUCGGCUAACUCCGUGCCAGCAGCCGCGGUAAUACGGAGGAUCCGAGCGUUAUCCGGAUUUACUGGGUUUAAAGGGUGCGUAGGCGGGUGGCUCAGUCGGCGGUGAAAUGCAGCGGCUCAACCGUUGCCCUGCCGUCGAAACUGGCCGCCUUGAAUUCGGUCGAGGCCGGCGGAAUGCGCGGUGUAGCGGUGAAAUGCUUAGAUAUCGCGCGGAACGCCGAUUGCGGAGGCAGCUGGCUGGACCGAGAUUGACGCUGAUGCACGACAGCGUGGGGAUCGAACAGGAUUAGAUACCCUGGUAGUCCACGCCGUAAACGAUGAUGGCUGGGUGUUGGCGAUACACUGUCAGCGCCUGAGCGAAAGCAUUAAGCCAUCCACCUGGGGAGUACGAUCGCAAGGUUGAAACUCAAAGGAAUUGACGGGGGCC